UGGGGAAUAUUGGACAAUGGGCGAAAGCCUGAUCCAGCCAUGCCGCGUGUGUGAAGAAGGUCUUCGGAUUGUAAAGCACUUUAAGUUGGGAGGAAGGGCAGUAAGCGAAUACCUUGCUGUUUUGACGUUACCGACAGAAUAAGCACCGGCUAACUCUGUGCCAGCAGCCGCGGUAAUACAGAGGGUGCAAGCGUUAAUCGGAAUUACUGGGCGUAACGCGCGCGUAGGUGGUUCGUUAAGUUGAAUGUGAAAGCCCCGGGCUCAACCUGGGAACUGCAUCAAAAACUGGCGAGCUAGAGUAGGGCAGAGGGUGGUGGAAUUUCCUGUGUAGCGGUGAAAUGCGUAGAUAUAGGAAGGAACACCAGUGGCGAAGGCGACCACCUGGGCUCAUACUGACACUGAGGUGCGAAUGCGUGGGGAGCAAACAGG
rnacentral:rRNA from 1 species